rnacentral:rRNA from 1 species
AGCAGCCGCGGUAAUUCCAGCUCCAAUAGCGUAUAUUAAAGUUGCUGCAGUUAAAAAGCUCGUAGUUGAAUUUCGGGAUCGGCAUGUUGGUCGUGCCUUACGGGGUAUGAACUGGCAUCGCCGGUUUCUCACCUUCUGGAGAAUCGUGAUGCUCUUAAUUGGGUGUUACGUGGAUCCAGGACCUUUACCUUGAAAAAAUUAGAGUGUUUAAAGCAGGCAUAUUGCUCGAAUACAUUAGCAUGGAAUAAUAAAAUAGGACGGUUUGGUUCUAUUUUGUUGGUUUCUAGGAUCACCGUAAUGAUUAAUAGGGAUAGUUGGGGGCAUUAGUAUUCAAUUGUCAGAGGUGAAAUUCUUGGAUUUAUUGAAGACUAACUACUGCGAAAGCAUUUGCCAAGGAUGUUUUCAUUAAUCUAAGAACGAAAGUUAGGGGAUCGAAGACGAUCAGAUACCGUCGUAGCCCUUAACCAUAAACUAUGCCGACUAGGAAUCAGACGAUGUUAAUUUUUUAAUGUACUCGGUU